rnacentral:lncRNA from 1 species
ACUUCUCAAAAGUCAACUCCAAAGUCGUAAAUCCAAUAAAUGACCAUAAAUCCAAAUAAGAUAAUAAAUCCUGAAAAUAUCGAUAAAAGCAUAAAAUCCGCAAGUCUGAAAAAGACAGAAAUAAAACUCCCAAAGCACCAGCCCGAUAGCAAUCACUCCUGCUCGUCAGUCUCAUCUAAAAGGGGAAGGAAAUGAGGGGUGAGUAACAGGGGA